CUAACAUCAUAUAAUCAAUAAUUUUUGAUAACUUCAAAAUAUCAAACCCUAAUAUAUACAUAACACAACGAUAUUAUAACGUACAAAGUCAAACACGACCUGGAAAAUAGUUUGAAAAUCCAACGCUGUUACUAAAACAAAAGUAUCUGAUACUGUACAAAGUUCAAAAGAAGAUAAUUUCUUUUGACUCAAAAAGAUUCGACGCGCCCAUUCGACCCUCCACGCGUCUCCAACAUCAGUUACCUGAAAAUGUUAAAUAAGGGAUAAGUAUACAACGUAUACUUAGUGUGGGAUAUCAUGCAAUAAUUGUCCACGUUAAUAAAACGGUAACACAUACGGUCACUUCAUAUAUAUCCUCAAUAUUCGCACUGUGGCAAUCCAAGGACUAUUAAAGUCCCGGACCCUAUUUACGGGCCCCUGGCGACAUCCUCAAAAUAUACCUCAAAUCGCAUUGUGGCAACCCAAGGACUGUGAAGUCCUGGACCCUAUUUACGGGCCCCUAGCGAUAUCCUCAAAAUAUACGUCAUAACACAUAUGGUAAACACAUAUUAUUAAAAUGGACAAGAAUUAACCACAGCAUGUACUGAAAUAAAUCCCACACCUUAACUUGACUUG
rnacentral:lncRNA from 1 species